rnacentral:sRNA from 1 species
UACGGAGGGUGCAAGCGUUACUCGGAAUCACUGGGCGUAAAGCGCGCGCAGGCGGCCUUUUAAGUUGGAUGUGAAAGCCUAUGGCUCAACCAUAGAACUGCAUCCAAAACUAUCAGGCUAGAGUGUGGGAGAGGAAGAUGGAAUUAGUUGUGUAGGGGUAAAAUCCGUAGAGAUAACUAGGAAUACCAAAAGCGAAGGCAAUCUUCUGGAACAUUACUGACGCUGAGGCGCGAAAGCGUGGGGAGCAAACAGG